rnacentral:rRNA from 1 species
UUAAGCGACUAAGCGUACACGGUGGAUGCCCUGGCAGUCAGAGGCGAUGAAGGACGUGCUAAUCUGCGAUAAGCGUCGGUAAGGUGAUAUGAACCGUUAUAACCGGCGAUUUCCGAAUGGGGAAACCCAGUGUGAUUCGUCACACUAUCAUUAACUGAAUCCAUAGGUUAAUGAGGCGAACCGGGGGAACUGAAACAUCUAAGUACCCCGAGGAAAAGAAAUCAACCGAGAUUCCCCCAGUAGCGGCGAGCGAACGGGGAGCAGCCCAGAGCCUGAAUCAGUGUGUGUGUUAGUGGAAGCGUCUGGAAAGGCGCGCGAUACAGGGUGACAGCCCCGUACACAAAAAUGCACAUGCUGUGAGCUCGAUGAGUAGGGCGGGACACGUGGUAUCCUGUCUGAAUAUGGGGGGACCAUCCUCCAAGGCUAAAUACUCCUGACUGACCGAUAGUGAACCAGUACCGUGAGGGAAAGGCGAAAAGAACCCGGCGAGGGGAGUGAAAAAGAACCUGAAACCGUGUACGUACAAGCAGUGGGAGCACGCUUAGGCGUGUGACUGCGUACCUUUUGUAUAAUGGGUCAGCGACUUAUAUUCUGUAGCAAGGUUAACCGAAUAGGGGAGCCGAAGGGAAACCGAGUCUUAACUGGGCGUUAAGUUGCAGGGUAUAGACCCGAAACCCGGUGAUCUAGCCAUGGGCAGGUUGAAGGUUGGGUAACACUAACUGGAGGACCGAACCGACUAAUGUUGAAAAAUUAGCGGAUGACUUGUGGCUGGGGGUGAAAGGCCAAUCAAACCGGGAGAUAGCUGGUUCUCCCCGAAAGCUAUUUAGGUAGCGCCUCGUGAAUUCAUCUCCGGGGGUAGAGCACUGUUUCGGCAAGGGGGUCAUCCCGACUUACCAACCCGAUGCAAACUGCGAAUACCGGAGAAUGUUAUCACGGGAGACACACGGCGGGUGCUAACGUCCGUCGUGAAGAGGGAAACAACCCAGACCGCCAGCUAAGGUCCCAAAGUCAUGGUUAAGUGGGAAACGAUGUGGGAAGGCCCAGACAGCCAGGAUGUUGGCUUAGAAGCAGCCAUCAUUUAAAGAAAGCGUAAUAGCUCACUGGUCGAGUCGGCCUGCGCGGAAGAUGUAACGGGGCUAAACCAUGCACCGAAGCUGCGGCAGCGACACUAUGUGUUGUUGGGUAGGGGAGCGUUCUGUAAGCCUGUGAAGGUGUACUGUGAGGUAUGCUGGAGGUAUCAGAAGUGCGAAUGCUGACAUAAGUAACGAUAAAGCGGGUGAAAAGCCCGCUCGCCGGAAGACCAAGGGUUCCUGUCCAACGUUAAUCGGGGCAGGGUGAGUCGACCCCUAAGGCGAGGCCGAAAGGCGUAGUCGAUGGGAAACAGGUUAAUAUUCCUGUACUUGGUGUUACUGCGAAGGGGGGACGGAGAAGGCUAUGUUGGCCGGGCGACGGUUGUCCCGGUUUAAGCGUGUAGGCUGGUUUUCCAGGCAAAUCCGGAAAAUCAAGGCUGAGGCGUGAUGACGAGGCACUACGGUGCUGAAGCAACAAAUGCCCUGCUUCCAGGAAAAGCCUCUAAGCAUCAGGUAACAUCAAAUCGUACCCCAAACCGACACAGGUGGUCAGGUAGAGAAUACCAAGGCGCUUGAGAGAACUCGGGUGAAGGAACUAGGCAAAAUGGUGCCGUAACUUCGGGAGAAGGCACGCUGAUAUGUAGGUGAAGUCCCUCGCGGAUGGAGCUGAAAUCAGUCGAAGAUACCAGCUGGCUGCAACUGUUUAUUAAAAACACAGCACUGUGCAAACACGAAAGUGGACGUAUACGGUGUGACGCCUGCCCGGUGCCGGAAGGUUAAUUGAUGGGGUCAGCGCAAGCGAAGCUCUUGAUCGAAGCCCCGGUAAACGGCGGCCGUAACUAUAACGGUCCUAAGGUAGCGAAAUUCCUUGUCGGGUAAGUUCCGACCUGCACGAAUGGCGUAAUGAUGGCCAGGCUGUCUCCACCCGAGACUCAGUGAAAUUGAACUCGCUGUGAAGAUGCAGUGUACCCGCGGCAAGACGGAAAGACCCCGUGAACCUUUACUAUAGCUUGACACUGAACAUUGAGCCUUGAUGUGUAGGAUAGGUGGGAGGCUUUGAAGUGUGGACGCCAGUCUGCAUGGAGCCGACCUUGAAAUACCACCCUUUAAUGUUUGAUGUUCUAACGUGGACCCGUAAUCCGGGUUGCGGACAGUGUCUGGUGGGUAGUUUGACUGGGGCGGUCUCCUCCUAAAGAGUAACGGAGGAGCACGAAGGUUGGCUAAUCCUGGUCGGACAUCAGGAGGUUAGUGCAAUGGCAUAAGCCAGCUUGACUGCGAGCGUGACGGCGCGAGCAGGUGCGAAAGCAGGUCAUAGUGAUCCGGUGGUUCUGAAUGGAAGGGCCAUCGCUCAACGGAUAAAAGGUACUCCGGGGAUAACAGGCUGAUACCGCCCAAGAGUUCAUAUCGACGGCGGUGUUUGGCACCUCGAUGUCGGCUCAUCACAUCCUGGGGCUGAAGUAGGUCCCAAGGGUAUGGCUGUUCGCCAUUUAAAGUGGUACGCGAGCUGGGUUUAGAACGUCGUGAGACAGUUCGGUCCCUAUCUGCCGUGGGCGCUGGAGAACUGAGGGGGGCUGCUCCUAGUACGAGAGGACCGGAGUGGACGCAUCACUGGUGUUCGGGUUGUCAUGCCAAUGGCACUGCCCGGUAGCUAAAUGCGGAAGAGAUAAGUGCUGAAAGCAUCUAAGCACGAAACUUGCCCCGAGAUGAGUUCUCCCUGACUCCUUGAGAGUCCUGAAGGAACGUUGAAGACGACGACGUUGAUAGGCCGGGUGUGUAAGCGCAGCGAUGCGUUGAGCUAACCGGUACUAAUGAACCGUGAGGCUUAACCUU